GAGUUUGAUCCUGGCUCAGAUUGAACGCUGGCGGCAUGCCUUACACAUGCAAGUCGAACGGCAGCACGGGAGCUUGCUCCUGGUGGCGAGUGGCGAACGGGUGAGUAAUGCAUCGGAACGUAUCCUGGAGUGGGGGAUAACGUAGCGAAAGUUACGCUAAUACCGCAUAUUCUGUGAGCAGGAAAGCGGGGGACCUUCGGGCCUCGCGCUCUUGGAGCGGCCGAUGUCGGAUUAGCUAGUUGGUGAGGUAAAGGCUCACCAAGGCGACGAUCCGUAGCAGGUCUGAGAGGAUGAUCUGCCACACUGGAACUGAGACACGGUCCAGACUCCUACGGGAGGCAGCAGUGGGAAUUUUGGACAAUGGGGGCAACCCUGAUCCAGCCAUGCCGCGUGAGUGAAGAAGGCCUUCGGUUGUAAG
rnacentral:rRNA from 1 species